AUGGUUAAGUGACUAAGCGUACACGGUGGAUGCCUUGGCAGUCAGAGGCGAUGAAAGGCGUAAUAACUUGCGAUAAGCCCAGAUUAGGUAGUAAUAACCUUUUGAGUCUGGGAUUCCUGAAUGGGGAAACCCACUUGCAUAAGCAAGUAUCCUGUUGUGAAUACAUAGCAACAGGAGGCAAACCGGGGGAACUGAAACAUCUAAGUACCCCGAGGAAGAGAAAUCAACCGAGAUUCCGAAAGUAGCGGCGAGCGAAAUUGGAUUAGCCCUUAAGCUUUUAAUGAUGCAGGUGAAGAGUCUGGAAAGUCUCGCAAUAAAGGGUGAUAGCCCCGUAACCGACACAUCAUAAUCAGUGAAAACGAGUAGGGCGGGACACGUGAUAUCCUGUCUGAAUAUGGGGGGACCAUCCUCCAAGGCUAAAUACUACUGACUGACCGAUAGUGAACCAGUACCGUGAGGGAAAGGCGAAAAGAACCCCUGUGAGGGGAGUGAAAUAGAACCUGAAACCGUGUACGUACAAGCAGUAGGAGCACCUUCGUGGUGUGACUGCGUACCUUUUGUAUAAUGGGUCAGCGACUUAAUUUUAGUAGCAAGGUUAACCGUUUAGGGGAGCCGUAGGGAAACCGAGUCUUAACUGGGCGUACAGUUGCUAGGAUUAGACCCGAAACCAGGUGAUCUAGCCAUGGGCAGGUUGAAGGUUGAGUAACAUCAACUGGAGGACCGAACCGACUAAUGUUGAAAAAUUAGCGGAUGACUUGUGGCUAGGGGUGAAAGGCCAAUCAAACCUGGAGAUAGCUGGUUCUCCCCGAAAGCUAUUUA
rnacentral:rRNA from 1 species